GAUGAACGCUGGCGGCGUGCCUAAUACAUGCAAGUCGAGCGAACGGACGAGAAGCUUGCUCCUCUGAUGUUAGCGGCGGACGGGUGAGUAACACGUGGAUAACCUACCUAUAAGACUGGGAUAACUUCGGGAAACCGUAGCUAAUACCGGGUAAUACUUUGAACCGCAUGAUUCAAAAGUUAAAGACGCUCUUGCUGUCACUUAUAGAUGGUUCCGCGCUGCAUUAGCUAGUUGGUAAGGUAACGGCUUACCAAGGCAACGAUGCAUAGCCGACCUGAGAGGGUGAUCGGCCACACUGGAACUGAGACACGGUCCAGACUCCUACGGGAGGCAGCAGUAGGGAAUCUUCCGCAAUGGGCGAAAGCCUGAUGGAGCAACGCCGCGUGAGUGAUGAAGGUCUUCGGAUCGUAAAACUCUGUUAUUAGGGAAGAACAUAUGUGUAAGUAACUGUGCACAUCUUGACGGUACCUAAUCAGAAAGCCACGGCUAACUACGUG
rnacentral:rRNA from 1 species